rnacentral:rRNA from 1 species
GACAGAGGUGCCGAGCGUUAGGCGGAAUCACUGGGCUUAAAGCGUGUGUAGGCGGGCCGUUAAGUGUCUUGUGAAAUCCCCCGGCUCAACCGGGGAAUUGCUGGGCAUACUGGCGGUCUUGAGCGAUCUAGGGGCAGAUGGAACAAGUGGUGGAGCGGUGAAAUGCGUAGAUAUCAUUUGGAACGCCAAUGGUGAAAACAACUCGCUGGGGGUGUGCUGACGCUGAGACACGAAAGCCAGGGGAGCGAACGGG